AUGAGCGGCUAUGUACUGCACAACCCUAGGAAUGUGUGCCAUUCACAUAGACUAAAAUUGAAUGGCGCCACUAGGGUUGUGCAGUGUACAACCUACAC
rnacentral:pre_miRNA from 13 species